GGGAAAGGUUGUGGGAGGCCAGAGACUAUUACUUGUUGUUAAACUUCUUGAAAAUGGAGGGACAGUGCCAGGGGACUCUAGGCACUAUAACCAAUUAUGGAUUUUAAGCACGACACAAGUACUAGGAGAGUGGGAUCUUACCCCUCAUCCCCUUCUCUAGAUUUUCUAGGGAGAUUUCAAUGCCUAUAUGACUGUAGUUGUAUGUGUGCUUAGCUAUUUAAAGAGUUAAUAAAACACUUUUUUUUGGGUGGAGCAACCCUUACUGGCAUGUUCCCCCCACCCACAUCCUCAAAAAA